UGUUAGACUUUUCCUGUGAGUGUCAAAUGGACUGGGGGGUUGGCUUGAGGUGCAGGGUUGGGCUAUAAGAUAUUCCAGGUCUCUUUAAACUACAAAUCCAGAUCAGCUUUGACUGCCAUGCUGAUUGCCUGAUUCCUUUCCUCUGCCAGCACAUAGUAUUUCCCACCCACUUUGGAAGAAAGAACAUUUUAUUUUUAUUUGAGCUGCUUGCUUCAAAUCUCUAUAGCUGAUUAUUUUUCACCAAAUUAUUUUUGAAGGCUUGAACCAAAGUUUAUGUGCAUCACUGCAAAGAAAGGAUAGCUAAGAGGAUUAAUAAUAUGAACAACAUGGCAAGGAAAAGAAGCUUCAACUCACUAAAAUAAACUUACAGAAACUUAUCAGGAGUAAUUUGUAUACAAUGUGCCAAUUACUAACAAGCUGCAUCUGUUUAGUAAAUGUAUCUUAAAACUUUUUAAAAAUCGCUAUUGAAAACAUCACUUUAUCUUACUGAAUAUGAGCACAGUUCUUUUGAAUUUAUUGCCAGUAUUUCCUAAUUCAGUCAGUUUUCACACCUUCAGGUGGAUUUCCCUAUUUUAAUUAUGUCUUGGAAUAGGAUGCCAAACCUCCAGCGUCUUUCCUCUCUUGGAAAGUAUCUAUCCAGAGAGUUUGAGAAACCAUGCCUUUAAAUUAACUAACUGCUGAGUUCUACAGAAUUGGAGAAAAUUGAUUAUUUCCUUGUAUUUCACAGACUGUAUCCUUUUAAGUGACAUCUCUUAAAUAACUUCAUUUGCAAUCUGCAGAGACUCAUUUUCCUGCAUCUGUGCAAUGACUGUGAGUUUUGGAUGCAGUAUGCCCAGGGCCCUCACUAGUAAUUGGUAACAGAAGCAGCAGUAGCCUGUGAGGAUGGGAACAUGAAUUAAACCCUCCUUAGUGCUGGUGGUGGAUCACCUCCCUCAAGCAUAGCCCUUUAAUCGGGUUGUAUUCACUUUCAUAAUCUGCAUCUGCCUCUCCCUUCUUUUCUUAUAUUGUUACUGUUUUCAAAUGAAAAGUGUGGAAGGUAAGUUUUUUUUUAAUUGUACUUAAUUACAAUAACAACCAGCAGUAAGAUAUAUCUUUGCCAGUUGCUCUUAUUCAUGGUGUAGAUAAAAAAAUCUGAGUACAGUGGGCAAUAAAUAGUGGAAAACCAAUCCCACUUUAUCUUUAGAUUAAAUUGAAUGUACUUUCUUCUUAAAAAUACUGUUUUGUUUAGUUGUUAAAUCCUGAAAAGAAACUAGUAUAUUUGCUAACUGGAGUUAUUUGGAAAAAACAAAAAUGCAUCUGUUCCCAGUCAGAUAUGAGAAAGCCUGCUGAUUAACUGAAGAGUUUUUAUUCUAUAUGUAAAGAAAAUAUUAUUUGAAAGAGUUUUCUAGUAAAUUUUACUUAUUUGUAGCCAGCUGCUUAGGAGUAGUGGUUAAUGUCAAUGAUCUAUAUCAUAGUAGAUAGGAAAAGUGGAUCCAAGAACCCCAAUGGGUUUUUACACCAACAUACGUAAUUUUUGGCUUUUUGAUGGAAACAAAGUUUCUCAUCAUUGACAAGCCUGACACUCAGGAAUGUACAGUUAGGUUACUAUCAAGUCUCUGUGGUUCUGGAAAUUCAUCUUGCUCUACCAGAGUUAUAUAUUG
rnacentral:lncRNA from 1 species